rnacentral:rRNA from 1 species
AUUGAACGCUGGCGGCAUGCUUUACACAUGCAAGUCGAACGGUAACAGGCCGCAAGGUGCUGACGAGUGGCGAACGGGCGAGUAAUGCAUCGGAACGUGCCCAGCCGUGGGGGUUAACUACUCGAAAGAGUAGCUAAUACCGCAUACGAUCUAUGGAUGAAAGCGGGGGACCGUAAGGCCUCGCGCGAUUGGAGCGGCCGAUGUUAGCUUAGGUAGUUGGUGGGGUAAAGGCUCACCAAGACAACGAUCUGUAGCUGGUCUGAGAGGACGACCAGCCACACGAGGACUGGGACACGGCCCAGACUCCUACGGGAGGCAGCAGUGGGGAAUUUUGGACAAUGGGCGGAAGCCUGAUCCAGCGAUGCCGCGUGCAGGAAGAAGGCCUUCGGGUUGUAAACUGCUUUUGUACGGAACGAAACGGCUCUGGUUAAUACCCGGGGCUAAUGACGGUACCGUAAGAAUAAGCACCGGCUAACUACGUG